CCCUUAGAUAUUCUGGGCUGCACGCGUGCUACACUGAUAUUGCCAAUAUGUCAUUCUUAUCCGAAAUGGAUUGGGUAAUCAAGUAAUGAAAUUUCAUGCUUGGAAUCGGUAAUUGCAAUUUUAUCGUGAACGAGGAAUUCCUAGUAAGCACUAGUCAUCAGCUAAUGUUGAUUAUGUCCCUGCCCUUUGUACACACCGCCCGUCGCUACUACUGAUUGGGUGUUCAAGUGAGAUGCUUAGACCCUUGUUGCAUGGUUCAUUAUUGUGCUCCGAAAGGAAAAAGUUUCAAGCUUGAGUGUCUAGAGGAAGUAAAAGUCGUAACA
rnacentral:rRNA from 1 species